rnacentral:misc_RNA from 1 species
GUGAAUCAUCGAAUCUUUGAACGCAAAUUGCACUCCCUGGUAUUCCGGGGAGUAUGCCUGUUUGAGGGUCGUUAGAAUAAAAAAUCGAGGCUCCGCUCUUUUUUUUAAGGGGGAUCGCGUGGGAAUGGGGUGGUCUUUAAAGGUUAAUUCAUGUCAAAGUGGCUUAAAAUUUCAUCCAUCCGGUACGAUUAAAGCGUAUUUAAAAUCAAUCUUAAUUAAGAACGCCCGAGACC